rnacentral:rRNA from 1 species
GACGAACGCUGGCGGCGUGCUUAACACAUGCAAGUCGAACGAAGUGGCGAACGGGUGAGUAACGCGUAAUCAACCUGCCCUUCAGAGGGGGACAACAGUUGGAAACGACUGCUAAUCCCGCAUACUGAAGGAGGGGAUUGCGUCUGAUUAGCUAGUUGGAGUGGUAACGGCCCACCAAGGCGAUGAUCAGUAGCCGGUCUGGGAGGAUGAACGGGCACAUUUGGACUGAGACACGGCCCAGACUCCUACUGGAGGCAAGAGUGGGGGAUCUUCCGAAAUGGACGAAAGUCUGACGGAGCAACGCCGCGGGAGUGAUGACGGCCUUCGGGUUGUAAAGCUCUGUUAAUCGGGACGCGGUACCGGAAUAGAAAGCCACGGCUAACUACGUGCCAGCCGCCGCGGUAAUAC